rnacentral:rRNA from 1 species
UACGUAGGGUGCGAGCGUUGUCCGGAAUUAUUGGGCGUAAAGGGCUCGUAGGCGGUCUGUCGCGUCGGGAGUGAAAACUCAGGGCUUAACCCUGAGCCUGCUUCCGAUACGGGCAGACUAGAGGUAUGCAGGGGAGAACGGAAUUCCUGGUGUAGCGGUGGAAUGCGCAGAUAUCAGGAGGAACACCGGUGGCGAAGGCGGCAUCCUGGACCGAUACUGACGCUGAGGAGCGAAAGCCAGGGGAGCAAACGGG